CAGUAUUUGGGGAUAAUUGGCUCCAAGUGGCCAUUGCUCUUUUUGUACACACCCAGCAAAUCCAAGGCAUCUCUUCCUAAGCGAUCCGCAUGCUAAAGCUUGGUCUGUACCUCUCAAAGGAGAACUCCUGGCUGGUUAACAGACAGGAGUUGGAAUGACAGUCAGAAGACAGAGUAGUGACUCCACGGAGAACCUGUGGCUUCCCAACUGCUGCUGUGCCCACCAGCCCACACUGCUUCUCUCAUCACCUCCUCAGCUGUUCCCACUCUGCAGGGACAGGCAGUCCAAGGGUAGAAGGCUGAGCUGGAAAAAACAGAAGUGACAGCCAUCAGCCCCCACAGGGAUCUGCUUGGAGCUGAGACACAUGGAUGCCUUCUAAUCUGGAGAUAAAUUUCUUCCCUGGCAUCCAGCAGCCUCCCUGGGAAUGGAGCAGCAAAUAGACUGCAGGUAAAGGUGUGUUAGCUGGUGUUGGAUCCAGCAGCAUCUGCAGGGAUGUCUGCUUGGAAACCUCUUGCACCUCUGUUCCAAUGGCACAGACACGUUUCUCAAAGUCUGAAAAGGAAGCUAAGUCCAUAAUCUGCAUACUCCUCCCGUACUCUUGCAUCAGUUUAUUCUGAAGUGGGAAUUAGAAAUAAGGAACUAUGAACCACCUGUCUUUACCCAGAAUCUGGCCUAACCUCUGAGAAAUAACCUUCAAAAGAGCUUUACAGGUUUCUUAUGGGUUUCUCUAUAGCUUAAAAUCAUCAGGGCAGCCUGUACCAUGUGCAGAGAAAGAAGUUAGCCCAUUCCAAAUGGGAAUUAAGAUGCAAUUUAUAUGCCCACUUCAGAUGCUGUGAGCCUGCCACCCAUGCUGAACCUGUGGAAGUACUUGGUACUGAAGCAUAGGAGUGAAAAUGUUUCCAAGAACUGAGAUGCUUUGCUCCUAAAUAUUCAAAAUUGCAUUUUCAAGAGUAACAAGCACAUAAGACAACUGUCUGUGUCUGAGCUCACUCAAAUUUGGUAACCUCAGGCUGCCUUCACCAUACAUGCUCUCCCCAGGGCUCAGCCCAGGAGCCAGUUGUUUGUCCUUGUGCAUAAGAAUAUAUUCUUCUAAUUCUGUGGUCCCGUGGGACCACAAUCCUGUGGUUGCUACUGACUUCUACCACAUCCACUAUCUAGGAUGAAGUAAUAAAUGUAUUUUUAUGCAGUAUUGAUGGUCCACCCUGGUAUCUCCAUGAGGCAAAGAUACAAGAAGAGGGCAGGCAUCUCUUUACACUGCUGACCUGGUGUGAAUACCAGCAAAUAGCUAUAUAUUUUUGGAUACAGCACAGGCAAGAAAUAAGAGUAAAUGAGGCCUGCAAGGACUAAUGCUCAAAAUAUCACGCAAGUGUAAAUUAAACUUUCCUACAAUGAGGGGGAAAUGAGACACAGAUGAGAUAAACUGAUCAACUUUUAAGCU